GGCAGGCAUGGUGGCUCAGACCUGUAGUCCCAGCUACUUGGGAGGCUGAGGUGGGAGGAUCACUUGAGCCCAGGAGACCACCCUGGGAACUCAGUGAGACCCUGUCUCAA
rnacentral:sRNA from 1 species